GACGAACGCUGGCGGCGUGCUUAACACAUGCAAGUCGAACGAAGUGGCGAACGGGUGAGUAACGCGUAAUCAACCUGCCGUUCAGAGGGGGACAAUAGUUGGAAACGACUGCUAAUACCGAUUACAGAAGGAGGGGUAUGCGUCGGAUUAGCUAGCUGGAGGGGUAACGGCCCACCAAGGCGAUGAUCAGUAGCCUGUCUGAGGAGAUGAACGGACACAUUGGGACUGAGACACGGCCCAGACUCCUACGGGAGGCAGCAGUGGGGAAUCUUCCGCAAUGGACGAAAGUCUGACGGAGCAACGCCGCGUGAGUGAUGACGGCCUUCGGGUUGUAAAGCUCUGUUAAUCGGGACGCGGUACCGGAAUAGAAAGCCACGGCUAACUACGUGCCAGCAGCCGCGGUAAUUC
rnacentral:rRNA from 1 species